GGAGCUGAUCUGGAAGAGGCAAUCCGUCAAACACCUAGCGUGCGGCGUCGUUUCUCCCGCGCGCACGGACGAGUGGGCGUACCUACCUGGAAGUUCCGCCGUGGCUUCUCCGCCCGCAGGCGGCGAUUGGCCUUCAUAAUCAUGAUGUCCAUUCGCAGCGGUGGGUACUGGUACGGAGUUGCAUGGCGUGCGGCGGCGGAAACCCAGAGGUACAGGGAUGCGGAAACGGAGGACGAGCGGGAGUCCACUCGCGAGGGCAGCCGACGCCGGGCAGGAACGGGCCGCCGCGAGCAACCGCGAGAGGGCGGGGAGCCGGGGAAGAUGGCCGGGGCAAAACUGGGAGCUCUUUUUUAAAUAUUUGGAUCGGAUAUUUACACAUACCCCCUAAAUCGGAUCGCGAUUAAUGUGUGUAAAUAUAUGGAUCGCGAUUAAUAAUUGCGAUCCAUUUGAGGGGUUCUUCUGCAAAACUGUUAUUGACUGCAGUCCAUGCUGAUGUGGGAUACUAUUAGCCGUUGGAUCUAGCGUGUGCGGUUCAGACCGAGGUCAACUAGCUUUAACGACCAAUAGCGUCACGAGCUCCGUCGCAGAUUCGCAGGUCGGCGGCCGCCGGUGAACUCACCCGCCGGCCGCUGCAGCUCGCCGGCAUGCAGUAUCCGCCGCCCCUCAUUGAUAUCCUCUAGCGCAGUGAAACGCUCCAACCUCAGCCUCGCCUCGCCGCCUCCGGGCUGGUACCGGCAGUGUCGCCGCCACGCGCCUCGGAGGAGGUCCGAGAAGAGGCUGAAUCCUCCGGCAGCGGGGAGGCCGAUGGCCUGCCCCGAAUCUCACCGCUGAAUCUCCGCGCCAGCAACAGCUUGUUACUCCGUCGACCAUGAGCCGCAGUUUACCCUACACCCCCAGGCCCCCCCUCCACGACCACGAAGGCGAAGGCACGCGUCGCGGCUAGCUUACCCCCCUCCAUGUCUAGUGAUCUGAACUGCUGUCUCUCCCUUACCUCCGUCCACCACCGCAUUUGGUGAUUUGGUGAGGCGAUCUACGGGAUCUCAUCGGUGGAGGUGCGGGAGCUCCAGCUGGAGGCUGCCUUGCAAGAUAAUGAAGGACAUGUUUGUUCAUUUCAAGUUAGAGAAUGCUGCGUCCAUGGAGAACAUCACGGUAUGACACACUGCGUAGAUAACCAUUCUGGCAAGCUGCUGUCCAUAUUGUAUCUCCAGAUGUAUCUUUGCAUGUGUUAUUUGCUAUUUCGAAAGAAUAAAAUGGAAGGUGAGCUUUCAUUGCUUUCCAAGGUUGUUUCAUACAGCUCAUUAAGGAAGAUUUGUGCGCGGAUAUGCAGUUGGUUCUCCCGUUAAAGAACAAUUUACCGACACAAGGGACUCAACAAGAUUUGAGCUACACUAAUGGUUAUUGUGUUUGAGGUUGCUCUUUUUGAAAUUUUAGAGGGUAACUUGAUGGUUAAUCAGCUCAAUUGCCACAAAGCAUAUGAAGCAAACCUGCAUGAAUAUGAAGGAUAAAUGCAUUGACAUCUGAGAAAUUUAACAUUAUAUACAGUUGGCUUGGA